GCAAAUAUAGUUUAAUCAAGACGUUAGAUUGUGAUUCUAAAAAUAGAGGCUAAAAUCCUCUUAUCUGCC
rnacentral:tRNA from 1 species